GAUGAACGCUGGCGGCGUGCCUAAUACAUGCAAGUCGAGCGAACAGACGAGGAGCUUGCUCCUCUGACGUUAGCGGCGGACGGGUGAGUAACACGUGGAUAACCUACCUAUAAGACUGGGAUAACUUCGGGAAACCGGAGCUAAUACCGGAUAAUAUAUUGAACCGCAUGGUUCAAUAGUGAAAGACGGUUUUGCUGUCACUUAUAGAUGGAUCCGCGCCGCAUUAGCUAGUUGGUAAGGUAACGGCUUACCAAGGCAACGAUGCGUAGCCGACCUGAGAGGGUGAUCGGCCACACUGGUACUGAGACACGGUUCAGACUCCUACGGGAGGCAGCAGUAGGGAAUCUUCCGCAAUGGGCGAAAGCCUGACGGAGCAACGCCGCGUGAGUGAUGAAGGUCUUCGGAUCGUAAAACUCUGUUAUUAGGGAAGAACAAAUGUGUAAGUAACUAUGCACGUCUUGACGGUACCUAAUCAGAAAGCCACGGCUAACUACGUG
rnacentral:rRNA from 1 species